CGAAGGCCGCUCAGCGGUGUACGCGCGGUUCUGGACACACCACGCAUGAUUGAUUGAUUCACCAGCGUGGAUGCUUUUGACGAGCGUUGGGAUAGUUUGCAAACCCUAUAGACUAUUUACAAGACUGGGCAAGGAGGGAAUCAAUCAGAGAGGCAGCAGAGAGACCAAAGGUGACCCUGACGGAGUUGCAGAGUUCCACGGCGGAGACUGGUGUCCAUAGGACCACAGCUGUGAGGUAACAAAAUAUGAAAAAUGCCAAGGAGGGUAAGUACUUUUGCAAGGCACUGUAAAUACUCCCAAUAACUGUGGUAGGCAUAUAUUUAGUUAAUACGUUUAAUCACAGACAUUUCAAAUAUAUCA